AGAACGUCGUGAGACAGUUCGGUCCCUAUCCGUCGUGGGCGUAGGAAAUUUGAGAGGAGCUGUCCUUAGUACGAGAGGACCGGGAUGGACAUACCUCUGGUGUACCAGUUGUCGUGCCAACGGCAUAGCUGGGUAGCUAUGUGUGGACGGGAUAAGUGCUGAAAGCAUCUAAGCAUGAAGCCCCCCUCAAGAUGAGAUUUCCCAACUUCGGUUAUAAGAUCCCUCAAAGAUGAUGAGGUUAAUAGGUUCGAGGUGGAAGCAUGGUGACAUGUGGAGCUGACGAAUACUAAUCGAUCGAAGACUUAAUCAA
rnacentral:rRNA from 1 species